UCUGAGGUUUUCUAGGCAAAAAUGGAAGCUGAACUAUGCGCAGCCAUACGUAGCUAGACUUUGUUAUUCAAGGAGACCUCGGAACUGAGUGUGUGGGCUCAGUGACGGUGUGGCAGGCAGGUGAGCCUGUUUCCUGGAGUCUGAAAUGAGACCACAACAAGUGAAGAUUGACAGCUGGAAUGGAAAAUCCCACGGUGUGGUCUACAAACACAGACGAGGCCAGAAGUGGGGGAAGAUCCUCCUUCCUUCUCUGUUUGUUCAAAGAUAAAGAGGCCCAUUCAGUCCACAUGGGGUCCAGCAAUUUAACCAUAAACUACAUUAAUGGAUGCCAGAAAGUAACUGCCCUCCUGGGCUGAGUCCAGAGACAGGCACCUCAGGUUCCAAACCGUCUGUGCCAAGUGUCCCCAAUUCCUCCCUUUAAAAGUGACCUUUCAAGAAUUCAUUCUGCAAUCUCAGAGCCUAUAGAUCUUUCUUUUCUUUCUUUCUUGAAUUAAAAAAGAAAAGCUUCUUGUAUUUCUAA